rnacentral:rRNA from 1 species
ACGCACGCUGGCGGCGUGCCUAAUACCUGCAAGUAGAACGCUGAAGAGAGGAGCUUGCUCUUCUUGGAUGAGUUGCGAACGGGUGAGUAACGCGUAGGUAACCUGCCUUGUAGCGGGGGAUAACUAUUGGAAACGAUAGCUAAUACCGCAUAACAAUGGAUGACACAUGUCAUUUAUUUGAAAGGGGCAAUUGCUCCACUACAAGAUGGACCUGCGUUGUAUUAGCUAGUAGGUGAGGUAAUGGCUCACCUAGGCGACGAUACAUAGCCGACCUGAGAGGGUGAUCGGCCACACUGGGACUGAGACACGGCCCAGACUCCUACGGGAGGCAGCAGUAGGGAAUCUUCGGCAAUGGGGGCAACCCUGACCGAGCAACGCCGCGUGAGUGAAGAAGGUUUUCGGAUCGUAAAGCUCUGUUGUAAGUCAAGAACGGGUGUGAGAGUGGAAAGUUCACACUGUGACGGUAGCUUACCAGAAAGGGACGGCUAACUACGUG